rnacentral:lncRNA from 1 species
CUACCCAUUUUACCCGUGGGGAAGCUGAGGCCCAGUGCUGUUUAAUAUCUUACUCAUGUUCACUUGAUGAGAAAGUGACAGAGCUGAGACAAACCCAGAUCAACAGAGAAGAAAUGAGUCAAUGAUGGUGCAGGUGAUCUGUGCAGUGCUGUGCAGGGGAUGGGUCAAAGCUGUGAUGCUGGCAUGCAACUAACUCACCAUUAAAGGGACCAGCUUGACGAAGCUUCUGCUUUUGUGACUGUCUUCUAAUGGGAGAAGUGAAAUUCUACCUCACCUUUUUAAAAGAAGAGCCUGGAAUUGGCCUAUCUGUCUUUUUCCCCGUUGGACCACAGAGCAGAAAGGAAUCUAAGACCUCUAGUACAGUGUUCAAUGGAACUGGUGAGAGAAGACGUCCUUGCUGUGUUCCUUAUAUGAAGAGGAAAGCAGUCCUUCUCCAUUAAAUGCUGACAACAUGAGCCUCCUGUGGUCGGAACAGGCUUGUGAAGGCAGUGCUGGGAUGCACCAGGGCAGGAGCUACAG